rnacentral:rRNA from 1 species
CCUACGGGGUGCAGCAGUGGGGAAUAUUGGACAAUGGGCGAAAGCCUGAUCCAGCCAUGCCGCGUGUGUGAAGAAGGCCUUCGGGUUGUAAAGCACUUUCAGUGGGGAAGAAAGCCUUGGGGCUAAUACCCUCGAGGAAGGACAUCACCCCCAGAAGAAGCACCGGCUAACUCCGUGCCAGCAGCCGCGGUAAUCCGGAGGGUGCGAGCGUUAAUCGGAAUUACUGGGCGUAAAGCGCGCGUAGGCGGUCUGAUAAGCCGGUUGUGAAAGCCCCGGGCUCAACCUGGGAACGGCAUCCGGAACGGUCAGGCUAGAGUGCAGGAGAGGAGGGUAGAAUUCCCGGUGUAGCGGUGAAAUGCGUAGAGAUCGGGAGGAAUACCAGUGGCGAAGGCGGCCUUCUGGACUGACACUGACGCUGAGGUGCGAAAGCGUGGGUAGCAAACAGGAUUAGAUACCCCUGUAGUC